GAUGAACGCUGGCGGCGUGCCUAAUACAUGCAAGUCGAGCGAACGGACGAGAAGCUUGCUUUUCUGAUGUUAGCGGCGGACGGGUGAGUAACACGUGGAUAACCUACCUAUAAGACUGGGAUAACUUCGGGAAACCGGAGCUAAUACCGGAUAAUAUUUUGAACCGCAUGGUUCAAAAGUGAAAGACGGUCUUGCUGUCACUUAUAGAUGGAUCCGCGCUGCAUUAGCUAGUUGGUAAGGUAACGGCUUACCAAGGCAACGAUGCAUAGCCGACCUGAGAGGGUGAUCGGCCACACUGGAACUGAGACACGGUUCAGACUCCUACGGGAGGCAGCAGUAGGGAAUCUUCCGCAAUGGGCGAAAGCCUGACGGAGCAACGCCGCGUGAGUGAUGAAGGUCUUCGGAUCGUAAAACUCUGUUAUUAGGGAAGAACAUAUGUGUAAGUAACUGUGCACAUCUUGACGGUACCUAAUCAGAAAGCCACGGCUAACUACGUG
rnacentral:rRNA from 1 species